GGAAACUUGUCAUAAAACAAUAGAAGUAAAACAAAGGCUUGGCAGACAACAACCAAUACAUAUUUGGCAUAAGGUAUUCAGAUGACAAUUCAUUUUCUAAGAAUAUUCAUUCUUUAAGUUGUAGUCAUGUCACGCAAAUGUGUAUACAAUACUAUUAAAAUUGUUUCAUCUUAAGUUGCGCGAACACAUACUUUGAUUCAUACUUAUAUCAGAUCAAUUCAUAUACUUAAAUCCGGUCAAUAAAUAUUCCAUCACCACGUUUUACCAAUCACACAAUAUUUUCAAUAUGGUAAAGGAACAUCUUGUCCUAUAAGAAGGUCUAAGAUGAUAAGCUUUUAGCACAAUUUUUAAAAAAAACCACAAAAUGAGCCAGGUCAACAAAAUGGUACUCAUACACCAUUAGAAUUCUGAGUAUCGAUCCACAUUAACAAACAAGUAGAAGCCACAUAAUUGGUAUGUGUUCUUUCACUUUGAACGAUUAAAGACCAAUUCCAAAGUGGACACCUGCUAGGGACACUUUCCGUCAAUUCAACGUGGGAGAUUACAACUACAAGGAUCAAACAAAACCAUAGAAAGAGGCCUCAAACAUAUUAAACUCUAUAUUAGAAUAGAAUGAGGGAGGAAAGAAUUGAACCUCAAGUUUCCUUCAAUUAAUAAACAUUCCAGGAAUUACACGGAUGGAAACUAACCACAACCACGAUCAGAACUCAAAUCGGACAGGACUCUCGAACAUGGACCUUGAUGGAAUCCUCGAACCGGCACCUCGGAUUUGCUGAUGGACAACACGAAACCCAAAUAAGACCACAAUCAAACUUUACGAGCGGAGAUCGAAACAAGGGUCGAAACUUUCUAUUGAACAAACUCAAGCAGAAGCUUUGGAAGAACAAAAAUCAGAAGCAAAAUCGAAACCCCCAGAUCACUUUAGUUCUGCGUGGGCAUAUUUCUUGUCUUGAAUCCGAAAAUUAGGAAAGGAAAAAUAAAAUCAAAAUCUUAAAUUCCGCUGAAUGUCGAAGAAGAUGAAGUUUCAGGGAAAUCCUUUGGUAUUUUUUGUGUUCUCUGCCGUUUUUUGUGUAGUCCCCAGGUCUAGGUUCCUCCUUUAUAUUUAGAAGUUAAGUGUUAUUUUAUAGGGGGUAAGAUUAGGUUAGCUCAAAUGAGAAAUGGGUAUGAGCUCAAUAUUUUGGGCUUGAAAGGAUUUGGGUUAUGAAUUUGGAUUAAAUAACUUUGGGGUAGGAAGACUAAAUAAAAACCCUUUUUCAUAUUA
rnacentral:lncRNA from 1 species